rnacentral:tRNA from 1 species
GCGGGAAUAGCUCAGUUGGUAGAGCACGACCUUGCCAAGGUCGGUGGCGCGAGUUCGAGUCUCGUUUCCCGCUCCA